rnacentral:rRNA from 1 species
UCAAGAUAAUAAGGGUAUAUGGUGGAUGUCUUGGCAUUAAGAGGCGAAGAAGGACGUGAUAAGCUGCGAUAAACCUCGGGGAGCUGCAAGUAAGCUUUGAUCCGGGGGUCUCCGAAUAAUCGUGCAUCCAAUCAAUAGGUGCAUGAAGCUAACCCAGCGAACUGAAACAUCUAAGUAGCUGGAGGAAAAGAAAGAAAAUCGAUUCCCUUAGUAGUGGCGAACGAAGAGGGAAGAGCCCAAACCUGUUAGCUUCGGCUGGCAGGGGUUGUAGGACCCAAUGUGGGACUCAGUGAGAAUAGGAAAACGGUGUGGAAAAGCCGGCCAUAGAGGGUGAAAGCCCCGUAUUCGAAAUUUGAGCUGACUCUAGGGUAUCCUGAGUAAUGCGGGUCACGUGGAACCCCGUGUGAAUCUGGGAGGACCAUCUCCCAAGGCUAAAUACUACUUAAUGACCGAUAGUGGACUAGUAGCGUGAGUGAACGAUGAAAAGUACCCCGGCGAGGGGAGUGAAAUAGUACCUGAAACCAUAUACCUACAAGCUGUUAGAGCUCUAUGUCUUCGGACACGAGUGAUAGCGUGCCUAUUGCAUAAUGAUCCUGCGAGUUACUGAUGUACGGCAAGGUUAAGCCUUUACGGGGCGAAGCCGAAGCGAAAGCGAGUCUUAAAUGGGCGCCAUAAGUCGUACGUCGUAGACCUGAAACCAAUGCGAUCUAUUCAUGAUCAGGUUGAAGCGAGAGUAAAAUCUCGUGGAGGACCGAACCCACGUUAGUUGAAAAUAACGGGGAUGAGUUGUGAAUAGGAGUGAAAGUCUAAUCAAGCUUGGAGAUAUCUGGUUCUCUCCGAAAUAUAUUUAGGUAUAGCCUCGAGCCACUACGUUAUAGGGGUAGAGCACUGAUUAAACUAGGGCCCUUACCCGGGUACCAAAUUUUAUCAAACUCCGAAUACUAUAACGAUUAUCUCGGGAGUCAGACUGUGGGGGAGAAGCUUCAUAGUCGAGAGGGGAACAGCCCAGACCGCCGAAUAAGGUCCCUAAGAAUGUGCUAAGUGUUAUGAAGGAUGUGAAGAUGCUAAGACAGCUAGGAUGUUGGCUUAGAAGCAGCCACCAUUUAAAAAGUGCGUAAUAGCUUACUAGUCGAGCAUUUUCGCGCCGAUGAUACGCGGGACUAAAGCACAUCACCGAAGUCGCGGGUUUGCACUAUGUGCAAGCAGUAGGAGAGCGUCGAUAAGCAGAUACAAGCCAUACCGAAAGGAGUGGUCACGGGCUUAUCGAGUGAUUAUGCAGGUAUGAGUAACGAUAAUUAUGGUGAGAAUCCAUAACGCCGUAAACCUAAGGUUUCCCGGGGAAGGUAAUUCCGCCCGGGGUUAGUCGGGACCUAAGUCAAGGCUGAAAAGCGUAGGCGAUGGACAACAGGCUAAUAUUCCUGUACCAAUUAGCAAAGGUUAUGACCUAUGGAGUGACGGAGAAAGCUAACUAUGCCCUCGGUUAGAUGUGGGGGUGCAAGCAUGUAGGAGGUUACCUUGGCAAAUCCGGGUAACAUCAACUCUGAGAUGUGAUGCGGUAGAAUUUCGGUUCUGUAAGAUAGUGAUGCUACGCUUCCUAGAAAAGCUUCUAUGGCACGAUGCUAUUUGCUCGUACUAAAACUGACACAGGUAGGUGAGGAGAGUAUCCUCAGGCGCUCGAGAGAACUCUCGUUAAGGAACUCGGCAAAUUGGAUCCGUAACUUCGGGAAAAGGAUCGCCUGAUUCGUGUAGGGAUUUACUCCUAAAAGCGAUGAUGGCCGCAGUGAAAAGGCCCAAGCGACUGUUUACUAAAAACACAGGUCUGUGCAAAAUAUCAAUAUGAUGUAUACAGACUGACGCCUGCUCGAUGCUGGAAGGUUAAAGAAGCCGGUGCAAGCUGGCAACUGAAGCCCCAGUGAAUGGCGGCCGUAACUAUGACGGUCCUAAGGUAGCGAAAUUCCUUGUCGGGUAAGUUC